AGAGUUUGAUCCUGGCUCAGAUUGAACGCUGGCGGCAGGCCUAACACAUGCAAGUCGAACGGUAACAUUUCUAGCUUGCUAGAAGAUGACGAGUGGCGGACGGGUGAGUAAUGCUUGGGAACUUGCCUUUGCGAGGGGGAUAACAGUUGGAAACGACUGCUAAUACCGCAUAAUGUCUACGGACCAAACGGGGCUUAGGCUCCGGCGCAAAGAGAGGCCCAAGUGAGAUUAGCUAGUUGGUAAGGUAACGGCUUACCAAGGCGACGAUCUCUAGCUGUUCUGAGAGGAAGAUCAGCCACACUGGGACUGAGACACGGCCCAGACUCCCACGGGAGGCAGCAGUGGGGAAUAUUGCACAAUGGGGGAAACCCUGAUGCAGCCAUGCCGCGUGUGUGAAGAAGGCCUUCGGGUUGUAAAGCACUUUCAGUUGUGAGGAAAAGUUAGUAGUUAAUACCUGCUAGCCGUGACGUUAACAACAGAAGAAGCACCGGCUAACUCCGUGCCAGCAGCCGCGGUAAUACGGAGGGUGCGAGCGUUAAUCGGAAUUACUGGGCGUAAAGCGCACGCAGGCGGUUUGUUAAGCUAGAUGUGAAAGCCCCGGGCUCAACCUGGGAUGGUCAUUUAGAACUGGCAGACUAGAGUCUUGGAGAGGGGAGUGGAAUUCCAGGUGUAGCGGUGAAAUGCGUAGAUAUCUGGAGGAACAUCAGCGGCGAAGGCGACUCCCUGGCCAAAGACUGACGCUCAUGUGCGAAAGUGUGGGUAGCGAACAGGAUUAGAUACCCUGGUAGUCCACACCGUAAACGCUGUCUACUAGCUGUGUGUGCCUUUAAGGCGUGCGUAGCGAAGCUAACGCGCUAAGUAGACCGCCUGGGGAGUACGGCCGCAAGGUUAAAACUCAAAUGAAUUGACGGGGGCCCGCACAAGCGGUGGAGCAUGUGGUUUAAUUCGAUGCAACGCGAAGAACCUUACCUACACUUGACAUGCUGAGAAGUUACUAGAGAUAGUUUCGUGCCUUCGGGAGCCAAGACACAGG
rnacentral:rRNA from 1 species